GAGUUCUGCUCUGGCACAGAAUAAGGCUGCUAUUGUCAUAACACUCUGGCUCUGCUCUGACUUCAGUGACAGUGAAAAGCAAAAUGGAGGAAAGGGAAAAGGAAGAUGGGAGAAAGAUAAAAGGAAGAAAGAAGACGGAGAAUUCUGAAACUUGGAGGCAAGAGAGGGCAGAAGAUGAAACGCUGAGUUAAAAUAUUAUCCUGGAAUAAGCCC
rnacentral:lncRNA from 1 species